rnacentral:tRNA from 1 species
GGCAGGAUGGCCGAGUGGAAGGAGGUGCUUGUUUUGAGCACCAGUCAGCUCAGUGGCGUGGGUUCGAGUUCCACUCCUGUCA